rnacentral:lncRNA from 1 species
GCGGGAGUUGUGUGACAAACACUGCACAGAGAGGCAGACAGACUGCGAGCGACAGGGAAGAAGAAAAGCCAUCCGUACAUUCGGAUCCAAGAAUACAAAAACAAAAAACUCGUACUUCUUCAUCUUCACCAUAUCUGCGGACGACGUCAGUCAAGUUUUCUUUUAUUAUUGUUAUUUCUAUCUGUGGCAUCCAUCGGUCCGCUCUCGUUUUAGAGACCCUACGAACUUUUUUGUCGUUCAGGUUUUCUUUUUGAACAUGUUAUUUUUAUCGACAACAAGAAUACCGGUUUCGUCAUAGUUUUCUUCUGCCUUUCACCACUACGUCUGUGCGUGUAAUCAAUUGUUGUUGUAUCCUGUGAUCUCUUCAACUCUAGUAGCUCGAGGUAGAUCGUCUUGGUUGGUCGUGUGCUGUUCUUUAAUUCGUGUUUGGGGAGGGAAUCCGAAGAGUCACACUCUUUGAUCGCGACCUGCAGGAUAUUUCUUUAUUCAUUUAUCGUCUCGAGUCGGAUUUUGAGGAUAAGAGGUGCCGACUGGAAAAGAUGCUGUCCGGUUUCAACCCUAUCGUAAGCCUCGAAGGCAGUGCAUCCACAUGCAACCUACCUGGAAUUAAAAAGCAUGAGACACAAACUUGAAGAAUGGGCUGGUGCUGCAAUCUUUUCAUAACACCCCCUCUGGCUCCACGUGAUUGGCAGUUGUAUUGUUGACGGGACGAUGGAUUUCUGAUUCUAGACAUGCAUCUAACUCAUCCAUAUUCAGACGUGUGAAUUGAAAAUAACUCUCCUACCCCCCAUAGCGAGCAUGCUCAGUAUGAAUACUAACUUACGAGUGGCGCACCCUUUUAUUUAUCUUUGUUUUGCGUCUGCGGUUGUGUUUGUUUGCAUUGGAUAUGUUCUCAGCAUUUGACAUUGCCGGAUCGAGUGUUUGUUUGAUCGAUUGUUCUUAUCUUUAACUUUUUUUUCCUAUACCUACAGGAUCGAACUGGCAAACCAGGAGCUCGUGGAGGUGGCGCAUCAGAAGGCAGCGAAUCGCUGAGCAAUAAAGUCCGUGAUUUGGAAGCCAAGCUGAGAGGCAACCGUCCAACUAUAGGGAGGACGGUGACGUCCCUAUAUUUAUAAAAAUAAAUACCAUCGGAAGCAAAAGAACACAACAGAUUAAGUUUUGGUAUUACAUCUUGUUUAUGUUUCCUAUUUUGCUCGGCGACUGGCCUCUCCGGAGUAAUGGAUGCAAAUACAAAAUUGGAACCGACCCUUGGUGCCUGAACAGGUAACACGGAUUUCAUCAACGAUGCAAUUUCUGAUAAAUCUUUUUCACUUCUGCGUAAAAAAGAUCCGCAUCUCACCUAUCAAAUGAAAAGUAGGAAAGUAUAUAAGCGCUGAUCUCUACAAUGUGUUAAGCACUUUGUAAAAGUAACCUACAGUGGUCACAAUGUUCGCCUUAGAAUGCGUUGACUGCUUGGCGUUGGCAGUAGCAGCGGAGGAAUCGCCUUCUGUAAUUUGAUUAAUGGUUUUGGAAGCAGUGUUGAUUUUCACCAUUUUAGUUUGCCGGCUCAUAACCAAUGGCACUUCUUUAUUCGUUUCCUGUACACCAAAUGUUUGGCGGCAAAAAUGGUUGAUUAGUAAACUGAAAACAUUUUACGUCGUUGGACGAUCACCUGUUGCGACUUUUGUUGCAGGAGCCAUUUUUCUCUAUCACUGUGAAUUUUUCUCCAUGUGAGAUCAUCCUGUUCUUCAGCAGCUUCAUCUUCUUCAUCUUCUUGAUUUUUUGGACGGGCACCGUCUCCCUCAGUAUUUUCACCAUCAGCCUGUUUCCACCGAAAUUGUCUUUACCUUCCACCGCCAUCAGAAUGCAAAUCUCCAUCUUCGAGAAAAAGCUCUUGAAAAAGUCGAACUUCACGCUGGUCUUGAUCAAGCAUUGUCUUCAUAUGGGCUCUUCCAACUUGCUCACGAACUUCGUUUUCAUCAAUAUCCUCCUUAUCGCCUUCCUCCUCCUCCCAGUCAUCCAUUUCGUCUUCUCGUUCGUCACCGCUGCCAACUUCGGAACCGGACAGUUUUUUUUCCGCUGUAUUUGCCCGUCGAAUCACUCAGUCUCUGCCCGUCGUCCCACUCGCUGCCCACAAAAAUGCCCAAUGAAGUUGCCCGUCAACUUAUAUAUUGCCUCUGGCUAUCUAAUCCCUAACAGUCUUUGCCCGUCGACCCCCUCUCUGCCCGUCAACCCCCUCUUUGCCCGUCGAUCAACAAUCGAUCAGCAAAAAUAACCACUGUAGGAGGCCCGUCGACCAUAUCGUUGCCUCUUUUUAUCAUCCUCCUCACAGUAUCUGCCCGUCAACCCACUUACUGCCCAACAAAAUGUCCGUUUUAGUUGGCCGUCAACCUAUUUAUUGCCCCUGUCCGUCGGCUCACAAGCUGUCUCGUCCACCCGUCCUACUAAAUGCCCAUGGACUGAAAAAUUGUCAAUUUCCACGAUUUCGUCCACCUUUUACGCAUCUAGUCUUCCAAAGUCCUCUCCCACCAAUUCCUCCCAACGCCAGCGGCAACUUACAGCCAAUCACAGGAUGAGCACAUCCAAGAGACCCAAAACUCCUCCCACAUUUUUCCUUAUAUUUUUAUAGAGUAUAGAUUCAACAAUUCAUUUGGAAACAUUUGUAUGGAACGACUACUGAAUGCAUUAAUGGAAAUACUUGGAACGA